rnacentral:rRNA from 1 species
UACGGGGGGGGGCAAGCGUUGUUCGGAAUUACUGGGCGUAAAGGGCGCGUAGGCGGUUGGAUAAGUCAGCUGUGAAAACCACGGGCUUAACUCGUGGCCUGCAGUUGAGACUGUCUGGCUUGAGUGUGGGAGAGGAGAGUGGAAUUCCUGGUGUAGCGGUGAAAUGCGUAGAUAUCGGGAGGAACACCGGUGGCGAAGGCGGUUCUCUGGGCCUUACCUGACGCUGAGGAGCGAAAGCGUGGGGAGCGAACAGG